UACGGGGGGAGCAAGCGUUGUUCGGAUUUACUGGGCGUAAAGGGCGCGUAGGCGGCGUGACAAGUCACUUGUGAAAUCUCCGGGCUUAACUCGGAACGGUCAAGUGAUACUGUCGGGCUAGAGUACAGAAGGGGCAACUGGAAUUCUCGGUGUAGCGGUGAAAUGCGUAGAUAUCGAGAGGAACACCUGCGGCGAAGGCGGGUUGCUGGGCCGACACUGACGCUGAGGCGCGAAAGCCAGGGGAGCGAACGGG
rnacentral:rRNA from 1 species